GACAAGGGACCCGGCGAAAUUGUAGUACCAGUGAAGAUGCUGGUUACCCGCGACUGGACGGAAAGACCCCGUAGAGCUUUACUGCAGCCUGAUAUUGGACUUUGGCAUUGGAUGUACAGGAUAGGUGGGAGGCAGGGAAUCAUAGACGCCAGUCUAUGAGGAGCCGACGGUGGGAUACCACCCUUUCAGUGCUGGGGUUCUAACCGCUGGCCGUUAUCCGGCAGCGGGACAGUGUCAGGUGGGCAGUUUGACUGGGGCGGUCACCUCCUAAAGGGUAACGGAGGUGCCCAAAGGUCCUCUCAGGAUGGUUGGGAACCAUCUGGUGAGUGCAAAGGCAGAAGGGGGCCUGACUGUGAGAGGGACACCUCGAGCAGGGACGAAAGUCGGGCUUAGUGAUCCGGCGGUAUCGAGUGGGAGAGCCGUCGCUCAACGGAUAAAAGCUACCUCGGGGAUAACAGGCUGAUCUCCCCCAAGAGUCCACAUCGACGGGGAGGUUUGGCACCUCGAUGUCGGCUCGUCGCAUCCUGGGGCUGGAGCAGGUCCCAAGGGUUGGGCUGUUCGCCCAUUAAAGCGGCACGUGAGCUGGGUUCAGAACGUCGUGAGACAGUUCGGUCCCUAUCCGUCGCGGGCGCAGGAAAUUUGAGGGGAGCCGUCCCUAGUACGAGAGGACCGGGAUGGACGUACCGCUGGUGAACCAGUUGUCACGCCAGUGGCACAGCUGGGUAGCUAAGUACGGAAGGGAUAAACGCUGAAGGCAUCUAAGCGUGAAGCCCACCCCAAGAUAAGAUUUCCCAUCCGGUAAGCGGAGUAAGGCCCCUCGUAGAAGACGAGGUAGAUAGGUCCGGGGUGUAAGUGCAGCAAUGCACUUAGCUGACGGAUACUAAUAGGCCGAGGGCUUGAUCUU
rnacentral:ncRNA from 1 species